AGUCAGCGUGCGAGUGAUAAGACCCGUACGCAAGAGGGAAACAGCCCAGACCGCCGGCUAAGGUCCCAAAUGCUGUGCUAAGUGGAAAAGGAUGUAGGACUUCGAAAACAACCAGGAUGUUGGCUCAGAAGCAGCCACCAUUAAAAGAGUGCGUAAUAGCUCACUGGUCGAGAGGCCCUGCGCCGAAAAUAUCCGGGGCUAAAGCACAGAACCGAAGCCGCGGCAGGGUACACUUUUGUGUACACUGGGUAGGGGAGCGUUCUUAUCUGGACGAAGGUAGACCGGAAGGACUGCUGGACGGGUAAGAAGUGAGAAUGCCGGUAUGAGUAGCGAAACGACAGGUGAGAAUCCUGUCCACCGAAAGCCUAAGGGAUCCUGGGCAACGCUCGUCGCCCCAGGGUAAGUCGGGACCUAAGCCGAGGCGAAAAGCAUAGGCGAUGGACAACUGGCGAAAAUUCCAGUACCGGGCGUCUUCGUUUGAGGAUGGAGUGACGCAGGAAGGAAGCUGAGCACGCGAUUGGAUGUGCGUGUCGAAGGCGGUAGGCUUGUAUGGAGGCAAAUCCCCAUACUGCAAGGCCGAGAACCGAUAGAUAGGAAAGACUACGGUCAAUCUGAAUUCAGCUGCACUACACUGCCAAGAAAAGCUUCUAACGAGAAGACGUCCGCCCGUACCAAAACCGACACAGGUAGGCGGGGAGAGAAUCCUAAGGUGCGCGGGAAAACCCUCGUUAAGGAACUCGGCAAAAUGCCUCCGUAACUUCGGGAAAAGGAGGACUCAUGUAGUGUGAAGAGCAGAAGCGCUUGGAGCAUGAAUGAGUGGCACAAGAGAGGCGCAAGCGACUGUUUACCACAAACACAGGUGCCUGCUAAAGCGAAAGCUGAUGUAUAGGUGCUGACACCUGCCCGGUGCUGGAAGGUUAAGAGGAGGGGUUAGACUUCGGUCGAAGCUCUGAAUUGAAGCCCCAGUAAACGGCGGCCGUAACUAUAACGGUCCUAAGGUAGCGAAAUUCCUUGUCGGGUAAGUUCCGACCCGCACGAAAGGCGUAACGAUUUGGGCACUGUCUCAACGAGGGACCCGGUGAAAUUGAAAUACCUGUGAAGAUGCAGGUUACCCGCGACUGGACAGAAAGACCCCAUGGAGCUUUACUGCAGCUUGGCAUUGGUCUUUGGCAUAUAACGUACAGGAUAGCCGGGAGACUGGGAAGUCAUAUCGCUAGAUGUGAUGGAGUCACCGUUGGGAUACCGGCCUUUAUAUGCUAAGGAUCUAACUAGUACAUUAACAGUGUAUAGGACAGUACCAGGCGGGCAGUUUGACUGGGGCGGUCGCCUCCGAAAGAGCAACGGAGGCGUCCAAAGGUUCCCUCAGCGCGGACAGAAAUCGCGCGCAGAGCAUAAAGGCAGAAGGGAGCUUGACUGCGAGACUGACGGGUCGAGCAGGUACGAAAGUAGGGCUUAGUGAUCCGGUGGAAAGAGAGUGGAAUUGCCAUCGCUCAACGGAUAAAAGCUACCCUGGGGAUAACAGGCUAAU
rnacentral:rRNA from 1 species